GUUCUCACUUCAGCAGCACAUGUACUGAAGUUGGAAUGAUAAGAAAAAAUUAGCGUGCCCAUGCAAGAGGAUGACAGGCAAAUUUGUGAAGCAUUCCCCACAUUU
ensembl:snRNA U6 U6 spliceosomal RNA